rnacentral:misc_RNA from 1 species
UAGAAAUUGGAGGAGAGAGAGGGGGGACUGUCGCUGGCUUCGGAGCGAUCUGGAGCAUGUGCACGUCCUUCUUUUCUUACACACACACACACCUGUGCACACUUUGUAGGCCCUCGAGAGGGGGACUACGUCUUUCACAUCACAUCCUUAUGUAUAUGUAUGGCUAUAGAAGGUAUCUAGGCUGUCGCUCGACUCCGGGUCGGGCCAUGGUCUAACAAAUAUUA